GGGUCAGUAGGUUGGUCAUGCCUAUGGUACGUACUGGUCUCACUGAUUCCUCCUUCCUGAAGAACCGUAAUGCCAUUAAUUUGGUGUUGCGGGGAAACAGGACUGUUACUUUGAAAAAAUUAGAGUGUUUAAAGCAAGCUAACGCUUGAAUACAUUAGCAUGGAAUAAUGAAAUAGGACGAUCGAUCCUAUUUUGUUGGUUUCUAGGAUUGACGUA
rnacentral:rRNA from 1 species